rnacentral:rRNA from 1 species
UACGGAGGGUGCAAGCGUUAUCCGGAUUCACUGGGUUUAAAGGGUGCGUAGGUGGGCUUGUAAGUCAGUGGUGAAAUCUCCGGGCUUAACUCGGAAACUGCCAUUGAUACUAUAAGUCUUGAAUACCAUGGAGGUGAGCGGAAUAUGUCAUGUAGCGGUGAAAUGCUUAGAUAUGACAUAGAACACCAAUUGCGAAGGCAGCUCGCUACGCGGUUAUUGACACUGAGGCACGAAAGCAUGGGGAUCAAACAGG